GGAGUUUACACCAUCGGCUCUCCUGGGCCUUCCUCUUGCCAACUACAGACCUUGUUACUUGCUCAGCUUCCAUAAUCAUGAUCCUCUUUAAGUCCCAAUCUGAAAAAACCCGCUCAUAUCUGAAGCCAGACGACAAUCCCAUCAGUAAAAUGAGAGCGCCUGCAGUUUUGAGGACAUCCAGCAGCUCUUUGAUGCUGUUAAAAAGGAUUAAUCAUGUGCAACAACAUGGAUGGCGCUAGAGAGUAUUAUGCUCAGUGAAAUAAGCCAG